UAGCCCUCACCAAACGUCACCCUCUUUUCUUCUCCUCUCUUCUCUUCUUCACCUCUUCGACUCCUCCACUCGACGACGCCGCCGCGACUCUUCUUCUCCCACGCAAAUAAAAUCCAUCGGCCCAGGGAAAAGCCAAGCCCAUUCCUAUCCCCUUCUCCCAAGCUUUGCCCUAGCCUCUCCGCAGUCCCCGCCUUUCUUUUCUCUGCCCUAGAUCUAUCUCUCACCGGUGACCCCUUUCUGGUCCUUCCGAUCAGAGGCGCUACCUCUGCAUAGGACGAUCUUCGGCCAAGGGCAGAGAGUUGUGCCCUAUCCGUCGUCGUCGAACGGAGCACCGCCGAUCACCAGAUCUCUACGGCGUGCCCCGUUGUGCCCUAGAUUGGGUCCAUAGCCGUCGACGCCCCUUUCUGACGCCUCCUUCCUCUCGAUCCUUGUAGAUCGUCGCACGAGCAGUGGAGAUUCGGCCUAGGGCUCAUGUUCACCUACACAUCUCCUCCCUCUGCAUAAUUCAGUCGCGUAAGCUCACUUCAACAGCGCUAACCUAGGGUUUCCGACGACCAGAUUUGAGGGCUGUCGUCCUUCUCCUCCUGGUCUCUACCAUUGUCGUCGUCGCCCCUCUGCUCCGGUUCACCAUCACAACAGACACCUCUGAGUGAAAGUCACUGAUUUGUCUUGACUUGUUGCUGGAGCAGCGAACAAUCACUGCUGCCAUGGUUUUGGGCGCUGUUGAUGCUGUUGUACCGCCACCGAGGAGCUAUAGGAUAACAAAAUCUUGUCUCUUAUUAGACUUAUAGUGGAAUUUGUGAUAGAACGUGUUAAUAUGUGGUAGUUUGGUUAUUUGGAGAGGUGGUUGGAAGAACAGAUAUGAGGGGUGUGGUAAUUGGGGUUCAAAUGUUGGAUCUAAUCUAAGUUUCGGGUUAGAUCCGAUUAAUGGAUGAAUUUGGAUAAGUGGUAAGGAAUUGAUGUUAACAAGAGGGAUUAGCUAAUUGAGUUACAUAGUUUCUAA